rnacentral:rRNA from 1 species
UACGUACGAGGCGAGCGUUAUCCGGAAUUAUUGGGCGUAAAGCGCGCGCAGGCGGGCUGUUAAGUAGGACGUGAAAUUUCCCGGCCUAACUGGGAGGGGUCGUUCUAAACUGGCAGCCUUGAGGACAGCAGAGGUAGGUGGAAUUCCUGGUGUAGUGGUGAAAUGCGUAGAGAUCAGGAGGAACACCGGUGGCGAAGGCGGCCUACUGGGCUGUCACUGACGCUGAGGCGCGAAAGCUCGGGGAGCGAACGGG